UUGGUUCUAGCUCUUUCACCUUCAUACACUUGAAUGAGCACACUGGUCUGGUUAUCGGAAUACGUUGAGAAAAUUUGCUCUUUCUUGGCUGGGAUUGUUGUGUUCCUUGGAAUCAAGACCGUCAUGACACCACCUGCGGUCUCAAUUCCAAGGCUAAGAGGAGUGACAUCCAGAAGAAGUAAAUCUUGAACUUUCUGAUCUCCUUCACCGGUUAAUAUUGCAGCUUGGACGGCAGCUCCAUACGCAACAGCCUCGUCGGGGUUUAUGCUCUUGCA
rnacentral:misc_RNA from 1 species